AGUGAACGCUGGCGGUAGGCCUAACACAUGCAAGUCGAACAGCAGCACAGUAAGAGCUUGCUCUUACGGGUGGCGAGUGGCGGACGGGUGAGGAAUACAUCGGAAUCUACUUUUUCGUGGGGGAUAACGUAGGGAAACUUACGCUAAUACCGCACACGACCUACGGGUGAAAGCAGGGGAUCUUCGGACCUUGCGCGAUUGAAUGAGCCGAUGUCGGAUUAGCUAGUUGGCGGGGUAAAGGCCCACCAAGGCGACGAUCCGUAGCUGGUCUGAGAGGAUGAUCAGCCACACUGGAACUGAGACACGGUCCAGACUCCUACGGGAGGCAGCAGUGGGGAAUAUUGGACAAUGGGCGCAAGCCUGAUCCAGCCAUACCGCGUGGGUGAAGAAGGCCUUCGGGUUGUAAAGCCCUUUUGUUGGGAAAGAAAAGCAGCAGGUUAAUACCCCGCUGUUCUGACGGUACCCAAAGAAUAAGCACCGGCUAACUUCGUG
rnacentral:rRNA from 1 species